CUAAAUUCAAAAGGAAAACAUUCUAUCUCAAACAGAAUUCAUAAUUUUUCAAUUAAUCCAAGGUCUGUACGUUCCUGUCAAAUACAUUUGAUUACCAAGGUCUCUGUGCGUUCCUGUCAAAUACAUUUGAUUACCAAGGUCUCUGUACGUUCCUGUCAAAUACAUUUGAUUACCAAGGUCUCUGUGCGUUCCUGUCAAAUACACUUCAUUACCAAGGUCUCUGUGCGUUCCUGUCAAAUACACUUGAUUACCAAGGUCUCUGUGCGUUCCUGUCAAAUACACUUGAUUACCAAGGUCUCUGUGCGUUCCUGUCAAAUACACUUGAUUACCAAGGUCUCUGUGCGUUCCUGUCAAAUACACUUGAUUACCAAGGUCUCUGUGCGUUCCUGUCAAAUACACUUGAUUAACAAUGUUUCUGUGCGUUCCUGUUUUGCAGGGAUCGGAAGAAAUAUAAAAUCAAUGCCAUUAUAAAACACCACAGAUAUACACACAUACAGUACACCAAGGAAUGUGUGUGUGUGUGUGUGUGUGUGUGUGUG
rnacentral:lncRNA from 1 species